UACGUAGGGUGCGAGCGUUGUCCGGAAUUACUGGGCGUAAAGAGCUCGUAGGUGGUUUGUCGCGUUGUUCGUGAAAACUCACAGCUCAACUGUGGGCGUGCGGGCGAUACGGGCAGACUGGAGUACUGCAGGGGAGACUGGAAUUCCUGGUGUAGCGGUGAAAUGCGCAGAUAUCAGGAAGAACACCUAUGGCGAAGGCAGCACUCUGGGACGGUACUGACGCUGAGACGCGAAAGCGUGGGGAGCGAACAGG
rnacentral:rRNA from 1 species